rnacentral:rRNA from 1 species
GUAUAGACCCGAAACCCGGUGAUCUAGCCAUGGGCAGGUUGAAGGUUGGGUAACACUAACUGGAGGACCGAACCGACUAAUGUUGAAAAAUUAGCGGAUGACUUGUGGCUGGGGGUGAAAGGCCAAUCAAACCGGGAGAUAGCUGGUUCUCCCCGAAAGCUAUUUAGGUAGCGCCUCGUGAAUUCAUCUCCGGGGGUAGAGCACUGUUUCGGCAAGGGGGUCAUCCCGACUUACCAACCCGAUGCAAACUGCGAAUACCGGAGAAUGUUAUCACGGGAGACACACGGCGGGUGCUAACGUCCGUCGUGAAGAGGGAAACAACCCAGACCGCCAGCUAAGGUCCCAAAGUCAUGGUUAAGUGGGAAACGAUGUGGGAAGGCCCAGACAGCCAGGAUGUUGGCUUAGAAGCAGCCAUCAUUUAAAGAAAGCGUAAUAGCUCACUGGUCGAGUCGGCCUGCGCGGAAGAUGUAACGGGGCUAAACCAUGCACCGAAGCUGCGGCAGCGACGCUUAUGCGUUGUUGGGUAGGGGAGCGUUCUGUAAGCCUGCGAAGGUGUGCUGUGAGGCAUGCUGGAGGUAUCAGAAGUGCGAAUGCUGACAUAAGUAACGAUAAAGCGGGUGAAAAGCCCGCUCGCCGGAAGACCAAGGGUUCCUGUCCAACGUUAAUCGGGGCAGGGUGAGUCGACCCCUAAGGCGAGGCCGAAAGGCGUAGUCGAUGGGAAACAGGUUAAUAUUCCUGUACUUGGUGUUACUGCGAAGGGGGGACGGAGAAGGCUAUGUUGGCCGGGCGACGGUUGUCCCGGUUUAAGCGUGUAGGCUGGUUUUCCAGGCAAAUCCGGAAAAUCAAGGCUGAGGCGUGAUGACGAGGCACUACGGUGCUGAAGCAACAAAUGCCCUGCUUCCAGGAAAAGCCUCUAAGCAUCAGGUAACAUCAAAUCGUACCCCAAACCGACACAGGUGGUCAGGUAGAGAAUACCAAGGCGCUUGAGAGAACUCGGGUGAAGGAACUAGGCAAAAUGGUGCCGUAACUUCGGGAGAAGGCACGCUGAUAUGUAGGUGAAGUCCCU